GUCCUAGCUGUAAACGAUGGGCACUAGGCAGUGGAGGUCCGAUGCCGUCACUGUCGGAGUUAAUAUGUUAAGUGCCCCGCCUGGGGAGUACGGCCGCAAGGCUGAAACUCAAAGGAAUUGACGGGGGCUCACACAAGCGGUGGAGCAUGUGGUUCAAUUCGAAGCAACGCGCAGAACCUUACCAGGGUUUGAAAUGCACGGAUUAGCCUCCCGAAACGGAGGUGACGCCCUUGGGUGGAACGUGCACAGGUGUUGCAUGGCUGUCGU
rnacentral:rRNA from 1 species